rnacentral:lncRNA from 1 species
GUGCCGGUCACUUAGCAACCUUCACUUCUGUGAGACCUACAGAUGGUUAAACACCAGCAGCAGGCUUCAGAUCAGGGACUAGAUUUUUCUUUCGUGUUAGUUUUGACACUUCAAAAGCUUCUUACAUUUUACAUAGCUUCUUGCGUUACAUCCUCGCAAGAGGGAGAAGAGUUAUCCAUCAAUUACUGCAAGGAAGGCUGGAGUAACCCAGUCAGUGACAAAUAUUCCUCUGCAUGUGGGCAAAAGAAUGUGAUGCAACAGCUGAAGAUACAUCACUGACAACCUUAAGGAAGCCUCGUUCACAGAACAAAACGGAGAUUUGCCUGGAAGCAGUAACAGCAAUGCAAGACAAGUGCUACUGCGAGGCAACAAAGUUCAGAACAAGACUUAUUUCCAGCAUCAGCACAUUUGGACUAGGAGCAGAGGAGGAUCCUGUCUGGGACCUUUU